rnacentral:rRNA from 1 species
UACGGAGGAUGCAAGCGUUAUCCGGAAUUAUUGGGCGUAAAGGGUCCGCAGGUGGUACAUCAAGUCUGCUGUCAAAGACCGAAGCUUAACUUCAGGAGAGCGGCGAAAACUAGCAGACUAGAGUAGGGUAGGGGUAGACGGAAUUUCUAGUGUAGCGGUGAAAUGCGUAGAUAUUGGAAAGAACACCGAAGGCGAAAGCGGUCUACUGGGCCUUUACUGACACUCAGAGGCGAAAGCUAGGGUAGCAAAAGGG